CUCUGAGCUACCCUUUAUUUCUAUAGGAGAUAGAAGAGCCAAAUCUUAAAGACUGUUUUAAGAAAACUCUUUUGAAAUAUCUUUGAAAAAAUUAAGAUGCUGAAAAAAGAACAUACCUCGCUUCCCUCCCAGACCAUGGGUAAAAGUUCAAAUGAGUUCUGAACAGGGAUGACAGCCGCUGUUUUCCUCCUCUUUAUCUCCAAGCAGUCCAGAGUGGAUGAGUAAUGAUUUUGUUCCAAGAAGGCCUGAACAAAACAAAAGGGACGUUAAUUCUUCCCUGCUUGUGGGCAUGACUGUUACUGGAUUCAAAAACCUCCUGAGGAACUUCAACAUAUACAAUUCCAUGGGACCCAAACAGAUGCAUCUUGGGGGCCUGAGGGAACUGGCUGAUGUAGUUAACUCACCCAUUCUCCGUCAUAUUUCAAAAAGUUGUGACUCUCAAGCAAAUUCUCCAGUGACUAGGAGUAAGUGAAGCACCAUAGCUAUUUUUAAAAAGGGUAAAAAUGGCUGGU
rnacentral:lncRNA from 1 species